GACGAAGGAUGCAAGCGUUAUCCGGAUUCAUUGGGUUUAAAGGGAGCGUAGGUGGCCUGCUAAGUCAGUGGUGAAAAUCUCUGGGCUUAACCCCAGAAAAUUGCCAUUGAUACUGGUGGGGCUUGAGUGCAGUUGCUGUUGGCGGAAUAUGACAUGUAGUGGUGAAAAUACAUAGAGAUGUCAUAGAAACACCCGAUUGCGAA
rnacentral:rRNA from 1 species